UUGACCUCGGAUCAGGCAGGGAUACCCGCUGAACUUAAGCAUAUCAAUAAGCGGAGGAAAAGAAACCAACAGGGAUUGCCUCAGUAACGGCGAGUGAAGCGGCAACAGCUCAAAUUUGAAAUCUGGCUCUUUUAGGGUCCGAGUUGUAAUUUGUAGAGGAUGCUUCGGCGUCGGCUCCGGUCUAAGUUCCUUGGAACAGGACGUCAUAGAGGGUGAGAAUCCCGUAUGUGAUCGGUUGCCCUUGCCAUGUGAAGCUCCUUCGACGAGUCGAGUUGUUUGGGAAUGCAGCUCUAAAUGGGAGGUAAAUUUCUUCUAAGCUAAAUACUGGCCAGAGACCGGUAGCGCACAAGU
rnacentral:rRNA from 1 species